rnacentral:lncRNA from 1 species
UUCCCUAUCAGGUAGCAUACCAGGCAAUUCAGCUGGAAACACAUCCCCGAAUUCCCGCACAACCGGAAUAUCAUCAAUCUUGACUGCUUCUCCGUCAUUCACAGAAAUACUAGCCAAAUAGGCUACACAACCUCUCUGUAUCAACUGUUGCGCUCGCGAAGAGCUAAUUGUCAUUGCGAACAAUGAACUCUGACACCUCUUAUAAAUAAACUCCUGCUGACCCGGUUUCCUAAAGAUCACUGUUCUAUUUGUGCAGUCAAU